rnacentral:tRNA from 1 species
GCUUGGCUGGCUCUGUCGGUAGAGCAUAUGACUCUUGAUCUUGAGGUUGUGAGUUCACCCUCAUGUUGAGUA